CUCAGUGAUCACCUCGGUGACUCAGUGAUCUGUCGCAAGGGGCCAAAGAGAAACCUACAUCUACCUCAAGACAAAACAUUCCUAUGAGGGCUGGUAACUAUUUCCUUUUCAAGUGUACAAGAGGAUGUUCUGAAACUGGCAAAGGUUUCAGAAGAGUGGGAUGGAACGCCUAUAUCUCCUUCACUCUGCAGUCCAGGACAGACUUCAUGGUUGUUAUAGAAAGGCUGUAUGACAUCCACAACAGUCAUGAUCCCUCAGAUCCCCAAGACCAACACUGCAGCCAGAUCCACCCAACCCUGAGGAAGGAAAGAGAGCUGGCUACGUACCCACCUGCAGAGCUGGCUGCGUAUUGGGGGUAACACCGUCAAUGAUGCUGGUACUUGCACAGAAUUGGGCCAAGGCACGUGGGAAGUGACUGGAACACGGGAGAGUACUUUGACACCAGGGGACAUACAAAACAUCAGGAACACCAUGAUGCAGAGACAACAAAUGGCCAGAAAUGAUGCCAUCAAUGUCUCAGAAAAAUCACAGUGGAAACUAUUUCAUGAACAAUACAGCGACAACAAAAACCUUGCCCUUGUGCUGAUGACAAAAGAAAUUAGGAAAAACGUCAUGGCCUAUGAUAAGGUCACGGUCUUCAUGGACGCCACAAAUGGCCUCCCCAACUACGGCUUCCCUCUCUAUUCCGUCCCGCUUAGAGAAGCUCAUGGCCAUGGGGUGCCAGCUGCCUCGAUCAUUGCUCUGUGCAAGAGCAUACUUUUGCUGUUUUCACAGAGCGAUCCACAGGCCAACUUGCACACACACCAUUGCCAGGUCCUCACAUACCCGCAGGUAGAUGCAGAGGGCUGUGGCUGACAUCCUCUCUGGCCCAUCUGUAUGCCUCUUCAUCUCCUCCCAACUGAUGCUGUACGUAAUUUUUUUUUACCCCAUCACUUGAAUGCCUUCAAAAGAGAAGUAAACAUGUUUAAAUCCACAGUAACUGUCCUGCUUUUCUGAUUUGUAACCUACAGUAUUAGCCUAUACGAUUAGUAAGGGAUAAACGCAGAACCUCUGUACAUGAUCUGGAAAUAAUGGACAACAUAGCAGGGACGAUACACCAUAUGCUUUAGGUAUCCAAGGCCCUGCAACAGAUGAACGUCCUGUCCAGGGGUUGUACUUGUACAUCAAGCUGCCUCACACUACCGAAACAGGAGAUGCACUUUUUUUUAAUCUAGUUAAUUGAUUGGGUAGAGACAUCUACAUACCUGCACUCCUCAUUGCAUUCUCUGCCAACUGAAUCAUCUACUGCUCCUAGGGGCUUAUGUUCUUUACAAUGUGUUUGAGCUAAUCCACUGAGUAGCUUUAUCUUUAGUUUGCUCUUCAUUAGAUUACAAUUCAUUUUUACGUUAAUAUCUAUUAAAAAGUGUACUUACCAUCGCUAAUAAAUGUAGGAAAUGGAUAUUGUUAUAUGUAUGCAAUGGCGAAAUUAGCUAGCUAGCUACUUACCAGCAAAGGCUCCACAUUUAUGUUGUGCGGCAUAAUAUUUUGCACCUGAUUGGUCUGACGCUAAAAAUGAUGCUUCGCAGUGAUUGGCUCGAAUGUCCAACGACCCAGUGUCGUUUAAAAGGCCAUCUACCACGGAGACGGUAAAUUCGUUAAUCCUUUAGACCCAAAUAGAAUUCUAGAAGACUGCUGUAGAUUACUGAGAAUUUUCAAAAUGAGGCACAUUUUCUCACACAUUUCAAACAAACAGACAUAGCUCAAAAACAACGAAUAAAUCACAAAUCACAUAAUUUUAGAGAGCACACACUGGCACACACUGUCACUCCAACACAUACACACACAAACACUCACUCCAUCAUUUGCUCACUUGCACAUAAUAUGCACAUACAUUUGUACCGACGCUUCCCACCCGCGCACACCCACUCACAAUACAAGCUGCUUCUACUCUGUUAAUCAUAUACCCUGUUGCCCUUACCUGUAUACAGUACAUGGUACUGAGACUGACUUUUUAAAUAAUUCCUGAAUAUAGUAUGCCUACUUUCUUACUUACUUACUUAUUGUGUAUUCAAUAUUUGCUAUUAUGAUUUAUUGUGUGUUUAUUUUCUAGUUAUACGUUGUUAUUGGGUUUUGAGUUUGGAAGAACGACAUUUCACUGUACUUGUGCAUGUGACAUUAAAAACUUGAAACUUGAAACACAACCUCACCCACUAUAAAAACAAGAUUAACACUCAACACAAGAAAAAACUCUAGAAUAUUUCAAUUGUAGUACAUUUGAGUAAAUUACUCAAUCAAAAUGUACAAAGUAUAAUAUAGUAUAUUAAUAAAAACGAUUGGCAGGUAUGCCCUCACCCGUCUGUGCAGUCGACUGUGAAUGCCCUCACCUUCUAGUGCAAUUAUGCUGACUGUGAUUUGGGUUCUGACCCUCCACAGAAUGUCCUAUAUGAACAAUGCUGAUGCUCCUCUGGGUUCUGACCCUGCACAGGAUGUCCUAUAUGAACAAUGCUGAUGCUCCUCUGGGUUCUGACCCUGCACAGGAUGACAGGAUGUCUGGUAACCACAAUACUUCUUUUUUCAGGGUUUUUAUUUCAUUUUCACACACACACACACACACACACACACACACACACACACACACACACACACACACACACACACACACACACACACACACACACACACACACACACACACACAGUUUUGGUAAUAUAACAUGAAUCUUGACUGGGAGUGAAUCUGGGUGGAAUAGUACUUGUGUUUCUCUGAAUGAACAUGACAACAUAUCGCACCCUGUCCCUCCGGCCUUCCACGCUGCUGUGUGAUCUGAUUUGCCCCAGCACUACAGGGUAGUAAAUUACUCUGCGCAUGCACAAGCUCCAAGACCCAUCUGGGUGGGUUCUAGAAGCUCGCGCCAUGGCAGUGCAACAACCACUUUAAGGAUUGCUGAUAUCAUGGCCUUGUAGUUUCAAUGGAGUGGUGUAUAUAAAAAAAGUACAUGGUAUUGCGCAGAGGUGGAGCGCAUGAAGUCCACGCUUCUCCAAGGAGUUGUUUUGUGUCAAAUUCCUAUUUUUACGCAACUACUACUUUUGAUAUUCCAAGCAGAAAAUAGUGGCAUGGUGGCCAAGUGGAAGGUGUCAGUUUUGUUAACCAAAUCAUGGAUUCAAUCCCCGUCCGUGCCAUAAUGGAAGAUGACUGACAUCAUGGUAUUGGAGUUGUAUAUGAAACAGCACACUGUAAUGAUAUGGCAUUAUGUCUACCAAAGAAAGGGGAUGAGGUGCAACACAAUUGUGAGGUCCUUGGUUUUAUCGCCAGGUUCUCCAUGGAGUUAUUUGUUGUCAAAUUCAAGUUUGACAGCAAAUAAGAGCAGUGGUUGAUUAGCCUCAACCCACCUUCAGAGUGUAGCUCCAAUGUUUUCUGGGAUUUGCACAUUUAUACCACCGCUUCAUUCAGGACUACAGCACCCUCUCUCCAAAGGUUCUGUUCAAGUGGUCCCCAACUGCUGACCGGACUUCUUCAUAUCUGAAGUAUCGGUUCAUCACAGCCCCCAUCCUCAUGCAUCUGAACCUGUUCCAACUAUUCGCGGUAGAGGUCUAUGCUUCUGUUGUUGGAGUGAGGGCCGUCCUGUCCCAGGCCUGCAUCCCUGUGUCUUCCUGUCCCAUUGUCUCAAUCCCCCUGAGAGGAACUAUGGGCGGGGGUGGGCGGGGGCUCGGUCCCCGGGCCUGGAGUGGGCUCAUUCCUCUAAGCUAACCUGCCACCUGGCUCCCGCCGAACCCUUGCCUUCCUCCGACAAUGCUUUUGUUGGCCCACUAGUUUCUGACUUCUCCGCAUUUGUCGCAGCAUGCAUGGUGUGUGCUCAGAAUAAGACUCCGUGGCAAGCUUCGGCUGGCCUCCUUCAACCACUCCCUGUUCCUCAUCACCCCUGGUCCCAUAUAUCCCUGGACUUUGGCACUGGUCUCCCUCCUUAUGAUGGCAACACCACCAUCCCUACAGUGGUGGAUAGGUUUUCUAAAGCCACCCAUUUCAUCCCCCCCCCCCCAAGUUACCUUCAGCCAAGGAGAUGGCCCAGCUCAUCGUGCAGCAUGGACUUUCUGUCGACUUAGUCUCUGAUCGCCUCCUGUGUCUGCAUCUGGGUCAUAUCCUUAGUCGUGAUACCAAUUGUCAUACAUGAGUAAAGUAUAGAUACCUUGAUAGAAAAUUACUCAAGUAAAAGUCACCCAGUAAAAUAACAAAAGUAUUUGGUUCUAAAUUUUGUGGCAGACCAGGGGGUUUGGUCAAGACGUUUACACAGAUCAGACUCGGACAGAAUUGUAUUAGCUCAGUUUCAAGGGUGUUUAUUAAAUAACAAACAAAGAGAAAAGAAUAGGUCUCCUCCAGGUCUCCUCCCUCUCAAGUGUGCUCUCCCUCUUCCUCUUCCUCCUUCUCUCCCUCUGCUACUUUCUUUCCCUCCUCCUCUUCCCCCUCCUCUCCCUCUUCCUCUCCAUGUUCCUCUCCCUCCACUCUCCCUCCUCUUUACUCUCCUCUCUCCCUCCACUCUCCUCUCCUUCCCUCUCCUCUUCCUCUCUCCCUCCACUCUCCUCUUGCGCCACUCCUCCCUCCUCGCUCCACAUCUCUAUCCCUCCAAUCAUCUCUAACUCCUCUUCCUCCUUGCCUUUUGCUGCUGAGCUCACAUCACUCCCUUCCCUUUCACUGAUCUAGUGGAACAGAGUAACCGAAGGAGAGGAACAAAUAGAAUGCAAUAGUGGUCAGGAACAUAACCUCUCUCUCUUCCUCUCACACACAUCUCUCCCUUCCUCUUCCUUCCUCUCUUUCUCAACCAUACACAAACCAUUUUCCUAAGAAUGGGUGUCCAUAAUUCAUUGUGUGAUAUAGUUACAAGCCUCCCAUUCGAUACAUGCACUUUCUCUCUCUCUCUCUCGACUCCAAUCAACUAUUGCUUUGUUGCCUGACAGACUAACUACAUAGUUUACCAAUGUUAGCUGAUUAGUUACAAAGCUGGGUCAGUUUCCAAAUGAAUUGCAUCUGUAGAAACAGGAUACAACAAGCAACUUGUUAGCUGGCUAUGUAAACAUAUAUCCAACUCAUCAUAUGAGCUCCAUUGCACGGGCAUCUACACUGCCCUAACACAACAGCUAAGCUGUCAAAUAAUAGGAAAACGAGGCAAUGUAUAGCCGAUGAAUGUCUGCACCUAGCAAACAUGACAAACCAUAAACUAAGGCCAACAGAUAAACACAAAUUAGUCAAUCCAAUUCAGCGGCUAGUUAGCUGGUUGUCUGUAUGGCUAGCUAGUGAAAGUGACAGCUGAGGUUGAUGCUACAAGAGCGCAGCCCAACUUUUAUUUUCUCGCCUGACAGACUAACUAGCGUGCUAACUAUAGCAAGCAGCUUGGGCCGUUUCCAUUUGAAUUACAUUGGUAGAAACAAGGCAAAACAACCAAUUACACUGACCAAAAACAAAUAAAUGGAAUAUGUAAAGUGUUGGUCCCAUGUUUCAAGAGCUAAAAUAAGAGAUGCCAGAAAUGUUCCAUACAAGGUCAUUGACCACAGAUAAAAUGACGUCAAAUCACAUUAUAUCUACCAUAGCUUUGAUUUGAUUGAUACUUUCAAAAUCUUAGCUAGCAAGCUAGCAGUCAUUGUCAUGAAUCAAGUCGACAAUCAACUGGCAAAUUCUUAUCAAUCCUUGUCAUAUGAAGAGAAAUUAUGAAGAGAAAUUAUAGAUAAAACGUAUCGGUGCUGAUCGGCCAUUGGAGUUAAACAUUAUACAAUAAGUUUGAAAUUGCAAAUUCAACAAUGAGUUUGGAAGGAAUCAGUGGCUAAGCAUUGCAAAGCAAUCACUAGCCUGGUAUUCAGUGGAGUGGGUGUGUGGUCCAAGUCUGAGUUUAAGGGUCUCUUUUCCUGGCAAAUUUAAAAGAAUAAACAUUUAACAUUGGCCAUGCUGUCAAGCAGGCAUGACUUUUGCCGCAUUCAAAACAACUGGAAACUCGGAACUGGAAAAUCUCAGACUUCACUGAGUUUAAGGUAACUGGGAUCUUAGGAAAAAACAAGCUCCAACUUGGAAAAUAAGUUUUGAACGAUCAUCCAUAGCCUGUUUUAGCAAAAUGUAAUCAUUGAAUAUUGUCAAAGCUUUCCUUGUCUGCUUAUAUGCCCCCUUUAUUUAUCCUAUGGUCCUGACUUGGUGUACAGAGAGAAUGCUGUAAGAACGACCCAUGUUCUGAAUGCUAUCGCUGUACAUUUCAAAAGUGCUAAACAAAUAGUUAUAUUGACUACAUCCGUCCUAGAUCGCUCAUUAAUGUCUUAAUUUAAAUGUUGUAUUGCCUCUUAUCCGCUCGUCGUCACAUUAUGCCAUAGAUGUAUACAUCUCAAUUGUCAGUAGAAACCACAUUUGUUAAAGCAUAUUUUUUUCAAAGGCAGUAAAUGAGGCUGAAUGAACUGGUUCGCUGCCAGACAAGUCUCCGCUGAUAGCCAGGUGUAGCAGUGGUAAGGUGUUGGGACUGCAGUUGGAAAAGCUUUAUGUAGGCCCAGUUUGUGGGCACUGUUUGUCACUGUUAUAGUGCAAUUAAUGUACAGUAUUGUUUAGUGCUGUGUUGUGUAGUGGUUUUGCUGGCAUGCAUCCCACAAUUGAGCGAGGGGAGGGGGGGGAGUUUGCCCCACCAAGAUUUACAUGCCACUUUAAUAAUGGGACUUGAUGGGAAAUGAUGUAAAUAUAUAUCACUAGCCACUUUAAACAAUGCUACCUUAUAUAAUGUUACUUACCCUACAUUAUUCAUCUCAUAUGCAUACGUAUAUACUGUACUCUAUAUCAUCGACUGCAUCCUUAUGUAAUACAUGUAUCACUAGCCACUUUAACUAUGCCACUUUGUUUACAUACUCAUCUCAUAUGUAUAUACUGUACUCGAUACCAUCUACUGUAUCUUGCCUAUGCUGCUCUGUACCAUCACUCAUUCAUAUAUCCUUAUGUACAUAUUCUUUAUCCCCUUACACUGUGUACAAGACAGUAGUUUAGGAAUUGUUAGUUAGAUUACUUGUUGGUUAUUACUGCAUUGUCGGAACUAGAAGCACAAGCAUUUCGCUACACUCGCAUUAACAUCUGCUAACCAUGUGUAUGUGACAAAUAAAAUUUGAUUUGAUUUGAUUUGAAAAUCGCCACUGGGAAUACUUCUUCAAGACGUUUCCACUUCACAAUAACAGCACUUACAGUGGACUGGGGCAGCUCUAGCAGGGCAGAAAUUUGACAAACUUGUUGGAAAGGUGGUAUCCUAUGACGGUGCCACGUUGAAAGUCACUGAGCUAUUCAGUAUGGGCCAUUCUACUGCCAAUGGAGAUUGCAUGGCUGUGUGCUUCAUUUUAUAAACCUGUCAGCAAUGGGUGUGGCUGAAAUAGACAAAUCCAGUUAUUUGAAGGGGUGUCCUUAUACAUUUGUGUAUAUAUAGUCUAUAUUACACUGAACAAAAACAUAAACGCAACAUGUAAAGUGUUGGUCCCAUGUUUCACGAGCUAAAAUAAAAUAACCCAGAUAUGUUCCAUUCCCACAAAAAGCUUAUUUCUCUCAAGUUUGGUGCACAAAUUUGUUAACAUCCCUGUUAGUGAGCAUUUGUUCUUUGCCAAGAUAAUCUAUCCACCUGACAGGUGUGGCAUAUCAAGUAGCGGAUUAAACAGCAUGAUAAUUACACAAGUGCGCCUUGUGCUGGGGACAAUAAAAGGCCACUCAAAAAUGUGCUUUUUUGUCACUCAAGACAAUGCCACAGAUGUCUCAAGUUUUGAGGGGGCGUGCAAUUGUCAUGCUGACUGCAGGAAUGUCCACCAGAGCUGUUGCCAGAGAAUUUAAUGUUAAUUUCUCUACAUAUAGCCGCCUCCAACGUACAUCCAACCAGCCUCAAAUCAAAUCAAAGUUUAUUUGUCACGUGCGCCGAAUACAACAGGUGUAGGCCUUACAGUGAAAUGCUCACAACCACAGACCAUGUGUAUGGCGUCAUGUGGGUGAGCGGUUUGCUGAUGUCAACAUUGUGAAUAGAGUGGGUUUAUGGCACGGGCAGGCAUAAGCUACAGACAACGAACACAAUUGCAUUUUAUCAAUGGCUACUUGAAUGCCCCAAAAUACCAUGACGAACUCCUGAGGCCCAUUGCGAGGACUAUUUUCUUGAAGAUAUCUCUUACCAACAGAUGCAUAUCUGUAUUCCCAGUGAUGUGAAAUCCGUGGAUUAGUGCCUUAUGAAUUUAUUUAAAUCUUUGGAAUUGUUGCAUGUUCCAUGUUUAUAUUUUUGGUCAGUAUAUUUUCUACAAAUAACAUUUGGGUUAUUGUGCGUGGCCAAAGAGCUUGUUUGUCAAACUCCAGGUUGUACUAUGGUCAGAGGACAUGAAAAAGAGCUCUUUGGCCACCCUAACUCGAACUUCAUGGGAAUCCUAGCUAAUGUUAUGGGAAUGUUCCUAGUUUGCUGUGAUGAUGAAACAAUUGUUGUUUUUUUGGAAAACGUUUCUUUGGGACCAUCAGACGACAUCCUGAUAACUGAUGUACAGGAACAUUCUUGCAACGUUCCCAUGAAACAUGUCUAGAACAUUAACGUUUUAUAUUCUCAGAACAUGGCAACCAUGUUCUAUGUAUGUUUUGGUGGGACGUUGAUGGAAUAUUCACCUAACCCUCAGAACACAGGAGACUAAUGUUCUUGCAACGUUCCCAUGAAACAUGUUUAGAAUAUCUUAUAUUCUGAGAACAUGGCAAGCAUGUUUUGUAUACAUUUGGUGGGAUGUUGAUGGAAUAUUCUCCUAACAUGAAUGUUCUUACAACAUUCUCAUUUAACAUGUCAAUAAACGUAAUAUCUUAUACUCUGAGAACAUGAUAACCAAGUUUCGGGUAAGUUCUAUGUUACAUCAAGGAAUGGUCUCUUGGAAACAUUCUUUGCAUGUCUAUAAAGUUGUGGGAACGUUUGUUGUUCGCUAGGUUAUAGUUACAUGUCAUUUGCUGCAUGCAUGAUCACUCCUAUUAUUGCAAGGUCUCCCCUGGUUGGUCAUGUGGCAGCCCCACGCACCAGGCUGUCUCUCCGUCUCCUCCCUCCAGGUUCUCCCUUCACUCCGGAGCUGCCAGAGCCGCCCUUCACUCCGGCGCUGCCAGAGUCUCCCGCCUGUCCGGCGCUGCCAGAGUCUCCCGCCUGUCCGGCGCUGCCGGACUGUCCUUUUAUAAUCUCCUGUUCUUGGGAGUAUCAUCCUGUGUUGCAAACCAGCCACACCUGUUUCCUUGUGUAGAUAAAAACAGGAACUGAGAAUUCCGGCCAAGAACAGAAACUAUAAAGAUAUGUGCUUUUCACCGAGUGCUUCGGAAUUCAGACUGUCAACACACUCUGCUAUUCUCCUGAGCUCAUCAAAAUAAAGAAUCUUAGUUUGACUUGGACUCCAGCAAAUCCUUAUUUUAUAAUAUCCAACCCAGCCAACUGUAUAUUAACCAUGUCGUCGUUCAUAAGAUAUUACAGUUUUUAAUGUCCCGUUGGUAGGAUAGUCUCGAACGGAGAUCAUUCAGUUGUUGUUGUGUUGUGGUUUGUUGAGCAAGUACUUCCAAUGAUUGUGUGCUUUGGUGGGAGUUUGUGUUGAUAACAGAGUCCACAUUGCUGGAUUAAGUUGGGUGAGACAGGCUGAAUCUGCAUGGAGAGCUCUCAGCUGUUUUGUAAGCAGUGCGCUCAUGAUUUAUGCUCUUCUCUAUUCAGUUGUGGGGACUUGGAGUCGGACACACGCACCAUAUCUACCUAAAACAUAUUUAGCUGCCCUUACGAAAAAAGAUUACGGGCAGAGUGCAGUAUAACUGCAGUAAUUUUGCAGUGUAAAUGCAGUUAGAGUGCAGUAUAAUUGCAAUACACUGCAGUUACUCUGCAAUCACUGCAUCUAAAAUACCACAGUAGACUGCAGCUACUGCAAUUUUACUGCAGUUUUAAAACUGCAAUCUUUUUUUGUAAAGGUAGACAGCAAUUAAACUUUGAAGCCAUUUUCUCAGUUUUAGUUUGCAUAGUUACUGAUCUUUCACUUUGUAUGUCAGAGCAGGUAACUGCAGUCAAAACACAGUGGAACAAAGCCAUAGUGCAGUAACUUCACUUGCUGUUUGCCUUGGUUUUUUACUUGGAUUUUGUAGUUGCUGCAAAUUUCACACUCCACUUUCUCUCAAAUGGAACAUAAUUGAACACUUUGUCACAAGAUAAAACAGAUACUACAAAGACUGAUUUCAAUCUUAACUCAAUUUUGGCCAAAAGUGUAGUUACUGCAUUUAUCCUUUGUAGGGCAGUGUAGUACUGUCUACUGUAAUAUUUACUGUAGUGCUUUUGCAGACAUUUCUGUAGUAUUUACUAUAGUGUUUUUGUUUAAUUAUCUUUGACAUAGAAGUGAAGGCUCUGCUUGAGGAAACAGUAAAAUAGUCUAUAAUCUGUAGUUAGGUACAAGGGCUCUGAACAGACAGGUUCGAGCUUCUACUCUUUCCUGUAACCUGUAGAAAACACAAUAUAUGAUAUAUAUUUGCCAUGUACAUUAGGUUUCUCACUUAUGGGUGGCACAAAUUGGGAUAUGGGGGAGUAGAAUGGGCAGGGUGUAUGCAAAUUAAAUACUGUAGUAUUUACUAUAGUUUAAAAGUGUCGUGUUUUUGGGGACAUUAGUAUUUACUAGUCUUUUUUCCCUCAGAUAAUACUGUCAUCUUGUCAUCUCUUUUUCCCCAAUACUGUCAUAUUGGGGCGACGAGGAGAGCAGGGUUGCAAAAUGCAAUCAUAUCUGUGACGCCACCUCCCUGCUCUGUCUCCUGGGUUUUGCUGUGCUUACUUCCUGCAGGAGAUUGGUGGGCGGAGCUGGGAGGGUCGUCAGUGCUGAUGCUGACCUGUGAAAGCACAGCUGUGGCAUAAAGCCCCUGUUUCCCCAUUCAGCAAGAGAUUCCUCUCACCAUGCAUACUUUUGGUUGUUUUGUUGUGGUUUUGACAGUUGACACCUAAUUUACUGACCUUCAUGCCUCAUCUGAUUAUUGUUGUGAUUUUUUACUUUACUUAUGGAAUAAAUUUGUUUUGUUAUUCCUUUA